AAGCUCCUACGGGGGGCAGCAGUGGGGAAUAUUGGACAAUGGGGGAAACCCUGAUCCAGCGACGCCGCGUGAGUGAAGAAGUACUUCGGUACGUAAAGCUCUAUCAGCAGGGAAGAUAAUGACGGUACCUGACUAAGAAGCCCCGGCUAACUACGUGCCAGCAGCCGCGGUAAUACGUAGGGGGCAAGCGUUAUCCGGAUUUACUGGGUGUAAAGGGAGCGUAGGUGGCAGGGCAAGUCAGCUGUGAAAACCCGGGGCUCAACUCCGGGAGUGCAUUUGAAACUGUGCAGCUAGAGUGCAGGAGG
rnacentral:rRNA from 1 species